rnacentral:lncRNA from 1 species
UUGGCUUUGGGUCUUAAGAUAUUCAUCCCUUUAGUACGAUUGGCAUUGGAAAAAUGCUUGAUGAAUGUAGCUUCAACUCUCUCCAGCAGCUUUGUAACAUCAUCAGAGCUACCAAGGUUGGAGUUAUCCACCAUUUUCAUGUAAGAUCUCGAUGCACUUCUCGAUGUGAUCUUAUCAUACUUCUUCAUGAUUUUGGAGAAUGCCAAGGUAUUCAAAAAGCUGUUGAGUUCCAGGAAAAACAAAAACUGAGUAAUAAGACCAAACGAUGAAAUAAACUAAGCCUGGCCUGUUAUGUACCUGUAACUUUUAAGCAGGCGAAGCUUUUGGUAAAAUUCAACGAAAGCCCGCUUGAGUUGAUCUUCAACUUUUCUUAGAUUUUCCCUACUGAAACUCAUCUCCGCCUGUUUUGGAACCUGCAGAAGACCUUUAAUGGUGGACCGAGGAGUUUCGAGAGUGUUGUUCAUCUUCACCCGGUCUAGUACUUCUAGCGGUGCAGGCUUCACCCCCUUGAUUUUGGGUUUCGGCGGUUUCGGCUCCUGAACUGGAGUUUCCAUCUCUUUCUCAUCAUCUUUAUCAUCAUCAUCAGUUUGUCCAUGGGUGCUUUCUUCAAUGGCUUCCAAGUGAGCAGCUCUUUCUGCACAUCAAACAGGUUGAAGUUGAAUUAAUUAUUUUUAUGAUAACUCUUGAUAUAAAUAUAAUUGUAAGUUGUAGCUUACUGCUCUUUGAUCUACCCGCAGAUGGAGUAGUAGGAACCGACAGUGAUGCAGUGGAAACAGCAAUGUCGGAAGCAAGACGAGUCAUCUCGACGGACCUAUCGAAAUUCACCGGGGGAUUCUCAACUUUGAUCCUAAAAGCAAUCAAAGCAUCCAUUUG